UAUAUACUCCCUCCAUCCGGAAAUAAUUGUCACAAGAAUGGAUGUAUCUAGANNNNNUUUAGUUCUAGAUACAUUCAUUUUUAUCCAUUUGUGCGACAAGUAAUUCCGGACGGAGGGAGUAUUAC
rfam:Hordeum vulgare subsp. vulgare, WGS project CAJW01000000 data, contig: morex_contig_111408